rnacentral:rRNA from 1 species
UGGGGAAUCUUGCGCAAUGGGCGGAAGCCUGACGCAGCAACGCCGCGUGAGCGAAGACGGCCUUCGGGUUGUAAAGCUCUGUCAGGAGGGACGAAGCCACUCGGGUGAAUAGCCUAGAGGGUGACGGUACCUCCAGAGGAAGCCCCGGCUAACUACGUGCCAGCAGCCGCGGUAAUACGUAGGGGGCGAGCGUUGUCCGGAAUCAUUGGGCGUAAAGCGCGUGUAGGCGGCCAUGCAAGUCCGAUGUGAAAGCUCGGGGCUCAACUCCGAGUCUGCAUUGGAAACUGCGUGGCUUGAGUCCGGAAGAGGAGACUGGAAUUCCUGGUGUAGCGGUGAAAUGCGCAGAUAUCAGGAAGAACACCGGUGGCGAAGGCGGAUCUCUGGAACGCAACUGACGCUGAGGCGCGAAAGUCGGGGGAGCAAACA